CGCAAGGCUCUUGUUGGGGUGGGUGGGCACGGAAGAGGGGGUGCGAAGUGCUGCUGUGCCCAUGGCUCUGCAUGGGGGAAGCUCUCUCUGCUCCUGCAACGAUGCUCAUGCACCUCGGGGAGGACAGCAUGCACGCGGGGUGCAGAUGGGCUCUGGACCAUCGGGUGGGGGACAUCUGAAGCAAGAGCUGACUGCUGGCAUUGUGCUGAGCCAGAAUUCAGCUAACCAGGCUCCCGGUGGGAUUCGUCACCGUCGCUUUCCAGCAGCAGGGAUCAGUACAAAUAGCACGGUCACAACACUGAGGCUGGUGCCUGGCGGUACCUGCACAGACGCCUUCGGUGGCUUCCAGCAUCCAAAGCAGCCGCCAGCCUGGCCAAUGUGCCCCGCGGUUCUGUGAGCUGGGCUGCAGGAGGACGGUAAGUGUGUAAACCCAUCAGAGCAAGGUUUCCAAAGGACUCCAAAGAGAUUAAUUCCCCCAAACCCCUCUGACUGCAAAUGGAAGCCUUGUGCCAGCUUCCUUUCAGCUG
rnacentral:lncRNA from 1 species